rnacentral:lncRNA from 1 species
UUCCCUCGAAUCAUUAUGUGAACCGAUUCUCUCCACGAUCAUUGAUUUAUUUAAUUGUUUUUAUAUAGAGAGCACCUUUGUGGGGGUUUAGCCGUUUAGGGUUGGUUAAUAUUAGCUGAUACUGUAUGGUUUGUUAUGCAUGAUCAAUUGAUCAUGCAUAUAGAUUUAUAGUAUCAACGACAGAAAAUCAGGUGGAAGUUCCCAACGGGUAAAUUCAGCUUUCCAAAUGUUGAUAGAUUAGAUUUUCUUAUGUCCAAAAUAGUAUUUUUAAAAAGAAAA